rnacentral:rRNA from 1 species
AGCAGCCGCGGUAAUUCCAGCUCCAAUAGCGUAUAUUAAAGUUGUUGCAGUUAAAAGCUCGUAGUUGAAUUUCGGGAUUGACACAUCGGUCGUGCCUUAAGGGGUAUGAACUGGUGUAGUCAAUUUCUCACCUUCUGGAGAACCGCGAUGCCCUUAAUUGGGUGUCGCGGGGAACCAGGACCUUUACUUUGAAAAAUUAGAGUGUUUAAAGCAGGCAUUUUGCUUGAAUACAUUAGCAUGGAAUAAUAAAAUAGGACGGCAUGAUUCUAUUUUGUUGGUUUCUAGGAUCACCGUAAUGAUUAAUAGGGAUAGUUGGGGCAUUAGUAUUCAAUUGUCAGAGGUGAAAUUCUUGGGAUUUUUAUUGAAGACUAACUACUGCGAAAAGCAUUUUGCCAAGGGAUGUUUCAUUAAUCAA